rnacentral:lncRNA from 1 species
CAUGUGUUCAUUGAUGAUUUCAUUCCGACUCUUGAAGGCGAUGAAGGGAUAUGCUAUGCCCAUCCAGAAAAUUUUCCCCGUGAGUGAGCUUUUAACUCCUCCUCAAUACUCCUAUUAAUUAUCUUUGAAUUUUCAUAAGAUUGGCUUAAGACUAAACAAAGAAGACGAUGCAUUAUUUUCUGCCUUUUUUGUAAUUAUAACCUCCGAGUAAGAUAAGUAGAAGUGAAAAAUGAUUCACUACCUCUCAUAGUACUAUGAUCUUUGAGAGCUCUUUUGUAUUUAAACUAAGAAACUAAGAAAGUGCGAGAGAUUUCUAUGUAUGUUCUCUUGGAGAGAUUUGUUCCUUUUGAAUGGGAGAUAUUUUUCUUUGAUGAACUGAUCAGUUUUUCUUGAAAUGCAGGAAGGUGAUGCUUUUGACCUCCAGAAGAAAGUAACGUGGAUUGCCCGCUAGAUGUUCGUAAUUUUUUUUUUUUUUUUUUUAAAGAGGAGUCUAAGAGAGUUGUUCCAUAUUUUAAGUGUAUGGAUUCAAAUUCAUAAUGAAAUUAUUGUUUUUUC